rnacentral:rRNA from 1 species
AUUGAACGCUGGCGGCAGGCCUAACACAUGCAAGUCGAACGGUAACAGGAAGCAGCUUGCUGCUUCGCUGACGAGUGGCGGACGGGUGAGUAAUGUCUGGGAAGCUGCCUGAUGGAGGGGGAUAACUACUGGAAACGGUAGCUAAUACCGCAUAAUGUCGCAAGACCAAAGAAGGGGACCUUCGGGCCUCUUGCCAUCGGAUGUGCCCAGAUGGGAUUAGCUUGUUGGUGGGGUAACGGCUCACCAAGGCGACGAUCCCUAGCUGGUCUGAGAGGAUGACCAGCCACACUGGAACUGAGACACGGUCCAGACUCCUACGGGAGGCAGCAGUGGGGAAUAUUGCACAAUGGGCGCAAGCCUGAUGCAGCCAUGCCGCGUGUAUGAAGAAGGCCUUCGGGUUGUAAAGUACUUUCAGCGGGGAGGAAGGGAGUAAAGUUAAUACCUUUGCUCAUUGACGUUACCCGCAGAAGAAGCACCGGCUAACUCCGUG